UAUGAACCUGCAGAAGUGAUAAUAUGCAC
rnacentral:piRNA from 1 species